rfam:Schistosoma rodhaini strain Burundi genome assembly, scaffold: SROB_scaffold0019878
AUCCAGCUGACCAGUCCCAAAUAGGACGAAAUACGCGUCCUGGAU